UACGAAGGGGGCUAGCGUUGCUCGGAAUUACUGGGCGUAAAGCGCACGUAGGCGGCUUUCUAAGUCGGGGGUGAAAUCCUGGAGCUCAACUCCAGAACUGCCUUCGAUACUGGAAAGCUCGAGUCCGGGAGAGGUGAGUGGAACUGCGAGUGUAGAGGUGGAAUUCGUAGAUAUUCGCAAGAACACCAGUGGCGAAGGCGGCUCACUGGCCCGGUACUGACGCUGAGGUGCGAAAGCGUGGGGAGCAAACAGG
rnacentral:rRNA from 1 species